GGAGAAAGCAGAACGCCCGGCAAAUGACAGCUGCUGGCCCCAGACAGGGCCAGAGAGAGGAGUUUUACAAGGUGCCACCUCAGAAAGGCACCUGUCAAUCCAAGCCUGCAGUGGCCAGAGGGGUGGCAGGGCAAGGGCAGUCCAGGAUACAGUGAAUGGGACUGCCUACAGUGAAGAUGAGCAGAGAACCGUCCCACAUCAGCUAAUACAUCAAGACUGUCCCUCACAGGCAUAACCAAAGGCUUGUCCUCCAGUGACUCUGACUUGUGUCAAGUUGACAAAUCAGCAGUAGCAGCAGCAGCAGCAGCAUCACCUAACCAGGACAUCCACACCGACCCACUGCUCCUCUUUAAAGGCCACCUGUACUUCACUGGAGAGCUGUCAGCUAAGAGCUGUCCUGUGAGGGGUCUUACAGUCAGGGAUCCCUGAAGCACCAUCCAGAGCCCAGGAAAGAAAGUCCCUCAUUGCAGAUCUCUGACCCUGCUCCAGUCAUGGCAAGGUUGAGGGAGGCAGGUAGAGCAAGACGCCUCUCCAUCUUCAUAAGACCAAGGAGUGCCCUUCCAUGGCCAGUUGCCUAGUCAGGACUCAUCUGUUCCUCACCACAGCCUGUGACGUCGAUAGCCUGACUAUUGUCUAUACUCGACAGAUGGGGAAACUGAGGCCGACAUCAUCAUCAAUGUGGUAUUGAAGCUGACAGUAACACUAAAACUUUCAAGACUCCAUAACAAACGUUCUACAUCAGAAUGAGAACGUGGUGGCCCAUCUCGGGUAGAUAGGUACCCCUGGUGUCCCUGUGUCCCCCAGCAGGCAGACCAUUCCAGAGAAGGCUAAUGUAAUUGAUGACCAGGAAGGAGCAGAGCUAUCCUUCUAGAGAAGGCUCAGAAUUUAGCCUAAGUGACAGUGUGGUCACUGACAAGCAGAACAAAGUUGGACAAGCAGCUUAGCAUUGAAUGUACAUGUGCACAGAGAGGGAGGGUGAGGGAGGGAGGGAGAGAGAGGGAGAGAGAGGGAGAGAGGGAGAGAGAGAGAGAGAGAGAGAGAGAGAGAGAGAGAGAGAGAGAGAGAGAGAGAGAGAGAGAGAGAACACAUGCACACGCAGCCCCCUCCACCGGCGCUCUCAAGUGCCCUGUGUGAGUGAGUGGGUGGAUAGUGGGAGCCGUGAAGCCGCUUCCCGGAGACAAUCUCUGCAGCUCACUCGGAGCCCCCUUCUUGGCUGGGUGUCAACCCCAGCCUUAUGCACAGGCAGCUGCCUCUAGGGAAUGAUUUAAAGGGCUCCAAGAAGCAGUCCACCCGUUGAAAAUGGCCCCCAUCCCUGGCCAGCAUGCUCACCUACCUGCCACGGGCCUUUCUAAAAGCGUGCUGAGAUCCUGAAGCCAAGGAGACUGCCCACAGUGGACUCCGAGUCCUGGCACUGCACCGAGGGACCCCCCCACAGCCUUCAUUGUGUCUGCCCAACACCCACUCUGCCUCCCCACCCCUCAACGGGUUCAAUCUGUAGCUCAGGAUCCUCUUGGUUAUAAUGGGGGAUCCCAGGCCCAGAGAGUGAUGAGGCCAUUCAGGCCUCUAGUGGGUAGGAGCAGAGUUUGUGCUCCCACCUAGGGACCUGGGCCACUUCACUUUGCCAUCAUAGUAUAAAGUCCAAAAAUCAGACCAUCCCAAGACUAGGCCAUCUGCAAAAACAGAGUGGAAACCCAGGUGUAGGGACUGAGGAGGAAGGGGGAGAUGAGGGAGACGAGGGGGGGAGUGGUGGGCACUCGCAUGAGGGUUGGGGGUCAGUCCUAAGGAAGUCUGUAGACGUCACAGUUCAGCCAUCUGAAGCUGACCUAGAAGCUGAGGUGCUCGUCUGCAGCUGGAGUCUCAUCACUUGGGAGGCUAAAGCAGGAGUCUCUCCAGUUCAAGCUCAGCCUGCACGGUGAGCCUGUCUCAAAACCAAAAACUCAGAAAAAAAAAAAAGCAAAGCAGCAGGGGGGGGUGGCACCGGACAGGUACAAGGGACAUGGAGACAAGUGGGACGGGGGUGCAUGGGAAUCACAAAGAGCCAAUAAAAUGUUAAAAUGAAUUAAGUAGUUAAUUAAAGAGAAGUGGAGGCAGGAGGAUCAGAAACUGACGGUCGUUCUUUAUACUUCGUAAGUUUGAGGUCAGCCUGAGCAACCGGUGACCCGGCCUUAACCUUCCUCCGGCUUUUCCCCUGAAGAAGAGGUUCUGGAAGGGAAAUGGGGAGCCGUGUUCUGGUUAAAGAACUCCGAGGCCUCUAGUGACUCUUCUCAGUGAAUACUUCUAAUCAUCAGGGUACUCCAUAAGGACAUCCAACCAGGGUCUCUAUUUUCAGAUAUUCUCUCUAUUCUCAUGAGGAAGUUGAAGCACAGAGCAGGUAAGUAACUUGAUCAAGGUCACACAGCUGGCAAAUAACAGAAUCUGGAUUCCCAGUCAAGUCCCUGACCCCAGAAAUCUUUUUUUCCCCACACUCUGGGUGGUGUGUGUGUGUGUGUGUGUGUGUGUGUGUGUGUGUGUGUGUGUGGUAUGUGUGUGUGUCUGUGUGUCUGUGUCUGUGGGCAAAGUGUCUCAGUAUACUCUGUCUUGAACUCUUGUACAUGGUCAAAGCCUUUUAAAAUAGGUUGCUGAAACCAAAUCAAAGAUCUCGUUCUCCUUUUAAAAUUUU
rnacentral:lncRNA from 1 species